rnacentral:lncRNA from 1 species
AGAAUUUUUUUUCCUCGCGAUAUGAUAAAGUGUUUGAGUGCUAUGCACGGACUACAGAAAAAGAGCCUUCGAAGCACUAACUGCAGUAAUAAAUAGUUACCGUUUAUGGGUGUCUGAUUUCUACAGCUCUAAGUUCAGACUUAAAAAACAGGAUUAAGUACAGUGAAUAGGAUUGGAUGGGGGUGGGCUUAGCGAACUCCUCUUGUGUUGUUAUGAGAUGCAAAAUAUACAUUUAGGACAACACCAGGAAUUUUACUGAGAUGGAAAACCUUCCUAACUAUUGUCCCCUGAAAUCCUAAGUGGCAGAUUCAAUUUGAGCACCAUAUUGGAGUCAGUAAGAUUCUGCUUCCUGAGUUCAAAUCUGGCCUCAGACACUUACUAGCUGUGUGAUUGUAGACAAGCCACUUAGCCCUAUUUUCCUUAGUUUCCUCAUCUGUGAAAUAAACUGGAGAAGGUAAUGGCCAACCACUCUACUGUCUCUGCCAAGAAAACCCUAAAUUGGGUCAUAAAGAGUCUGAUGUGACCCAAAUGAUGGAACAAAGGACCUACCUUGAUGCCACCUCAUCAUGUGGAGAUAACUCAGGCUUCUUAGCAAUUCUGCUGGUGGAAUAUGUCUUGUGGUCUGAAAGGACUUCAGAUAUAGACCCAGACAGGUCAGCCUAG